AACAAUAACAACAAUCAGGGAAAUGGCAACAACAAUAAUGGUGGGAACAACAACGGCAAUGAAGCAAGGGGUCGUGCUUUUGUGCUGGGUCGAAGUGACGCAAUGAAUGAUCCCAAUGUGGUUAUGGGUCGUUAGAUAUACGGAGCUUGCACAGGGAGGAGCAGGUCGUUGUGGAGCAUGGAUCGUGGAUGCCAUGUUAAAAUAUUUAAACAUUUGA
rnacentral:lncRNA from 1 species